ACUUUUUUAGCAAAAUUGAGUGCGCCAAAUUAAGAUUUUGGAGAAGUAGAAGUGUCUACAAAAAGUA
rnacentral:tRNA from 1 species